rnacentral:lncRNA from 1 species
CUUUUUUAAUAGCAUCUGACAUUUAUUGAAAAUAAGGAGAAGACUUUUGUCCAGGUAGUGUAGGAGAGCCGGGCAGAGUGCAGGGGUCACUGUGUUGAACAAAAGGCACACAUCAGAGAGACGGCUGCUAAUUCAGAAGAGAACCGGAUGCUGGGCAAAAGGAACAGGUCCACAGGAGAACAUGAGUGACUCGAUUUGGCUGCCGGGCAGCCCUGGGACCCGGCAGCCAUCUGGCAGGAGCAGAAGGUGUCUCUGGGAGUAGGGAGGGAAUGGGUCCCGCCGAAGGUGAACGGCUGGCAGAGCCCCUCCAGGGAGGCGGUGAGCUGUUGGAAUCACUGUCCAGGGGCCGUGGCCAGCUCAGUCGGACACCUCCCGGGUGAGACCAGAUCGCUGGAGGCUGCAGUCUGUCGCUGGGACGCGGCGGAUGGUGAUGGCAGCCGCCGCGCAGGUCUCCGGGCACAUCGAUGCAGCCUCCAGCGAUCUGGUCUCACCCGGGAGGUGUCCGACUGAGCUGGCCACGGCCCCUGGACAGUGAUUCCAACAGCUCACCGCCUCCCUGGAGGGGCUCUGCCAGCCGUUCACCUUCGGCGGGACCCAUUCCCUCCCUACUCCCAGAGACACCUUCUGCUCCUGCCAGAUGGCUGCCGGGUCCCAGGGCUGCCCGGCAGCCAAAUCGAGUCACUCAUGUUCUCCUGUGGACCUGUUCCUUUUGCCCAGCAUCCGGUUCUCUUCUGAAUUAGCAGCCGUCUCUCUGAUGUGUGCCUUUUGUUCAACACAGUGACCCCUGCACUCUGCCCGGCUCUCCUACACUACCUGGACAAAAGUCUUCUCCUUAUUUUCAAUAAAUGUCAGAUGCUAUUAAAAAAG